GUCAACAUAGUAUAAUGGUUUGAAUGCUAGACUACGACUCUGGAUACCAGGGUUUGAAUCCCUGCUUAUCCA